rnacentral:rRNA from 1 species
GUCGAGCGAAUCAAUGGGAGCUUGCUCCCUGAGAUUAGCGGCGGACGGGUGAGUAACACGUGGGUAACCUGCCUGUAAGAUUGGGAUAACUCCGGGAAACCGGAGCUAAUACCGGAUAACAUUUUGAACCGCAUGGUUCAGAAUUGAAAGAUGGUUUCGGCUAUCACUUACAGAUGGACCCGCGGCGCAAUAGCUAGUUGGUGAGGUAACGGCUCACCAAGGCAACGAUGCGUAGCCCACCUGAGAGGGUGAUCGGCCACACUGGGACUGAGACACGGCCCAGACUCCUACGGGAGGCAGCAGUAGGGAAUCUUCCGCAAUGGACGAAAGUCUGACGGAGCAACGCCGCGUGAACGAUGAAGGCCUUCGGGUCGUAAAGUUCUGUUGUUAGGGAAGAACAAGUACCAGAGUAACUGCUGGUACCUUGACGGUACCUAACCAGAAAGCCACGGCUAACUACGUGCCAGCAGCCGCGGUAAUACGUAGGUGGCAAGCGUUGUCCGGAAUUAUUGGGCGUAAAGCGUACGCAGGCGGUUUCUUAAGUCUGAUGUGAAAGCCCACGGCUCAACCGUGGAGGGUCAUUGGAAACUGGGGAACUUGAGUACAGAAGAAGAGAGUGGAAUUCCACGUGUAGCGGUGAAAUGCGUAGAGAUGUGGAGGAACACCAGUGGCGAAGCGACUCUCUGGUCCGUACUGACGCUGAAGUACGAAGCGUGGGGAGCGACAGGAUUAAAUACCCUGGUAGUCCACGCCGUAACGAUGAAUGCUAAUGUUAAAGGGUUCCGCCUUUAUGCUGCAGCAACGCAUU